rnacentral:rRNA from 1 species
GACGUAGGUGGCGAACGUUAUCCGGAAUUAUUGGGCGUAAAGGGUGCGUAGAUGGCCUGAUAAGUUAGCAGUGGGAAAUCGAGGCUCAACCUCGUGGAAGCUGGUAAUACUGUCAGGCUCGAGUGCAGGAGAGGUUAACGGAACUCCAUGUGGAGCGGUAAAAUGUGUAGAUAUAUGGAAGAACACCAAGAACGGCGAAGGCAGUUAACUAUUCUGUUACUGACAUUGAGGCACGAAAGCGUGGGGAGCAAAACGG